GGUGGUUGAUCGCGUCGGAAGUGUAAUCUUGGGGCUUAACCCUGAGCGUGCUUUCGAUACGGGUUGACUUGAGGAAGGUAGGGGUGAAUGGAAUUCCUGGUGGAGCGGUGGAAUGCGCAGAUAUCAGGAGGAACACCAGUGGCGAAGGCGGUUCUCUGGGCCUUUCCUGACGNUGAGGAGCGAAAGCGUGGGGAGCGAACAGGCUUAGAUACCCUGGUAGUCCACGCUGUAAACGGUGGGUACUAGGUGUGGGGUCCAUUCCACGGGUUCCGCGCCGUAGCUAACGCUUUAAGUACCCCGCCUGGGGAGUACGGCCGCAAGGCUAAAACUCAAAGGAAUUGACGGG
rnacentral:rRNA from 1 species